rnacentral:tRNA from 1 species
GCCUGGGUGGCUCAGUUGGUUGAGCGUCUGACUUCAGCUCAGGUCACGAUCUCACGGUCUGUGAGUUCGAGCCCCGCAUCGGGCU